rnacentral:rRNA from 1 species
ACUCAAAGGAAUUGACGGGGACCCGCACAAGCAGUGGAGUAUGUGGUUUAAUUCGAAGCAACGCGAAGAACCUUACCAGGGCUUGACAUGGGGACGACAGCGCUAGAGAUAGCGUUUUCUUCGGACGUCCCACACAGGUGGUGCAUGGUUGUCGUCAGCUCGUGUCGUGAGAUGUUGGGUUAAGUCCCGCAACGAGCGCAACCCUUAUUGUUAGUUGCUACCAUUAAGUUGAGCACUCUAACGAGACUGCCGGUGACAAAUCGGAGGAAGGUGGGGACGACGUCAAAUCAUCAUGCCCCUUAUGUCCUGGGCUACACACGUACUACAAUGGCCAUUAACAACGGGCAGCGAAGCCGCGAGGUGGAGCAAAUCCCCAAACAUGGCCUCAGUUCAGAUUGUAGGCUGAAACUCGCCUGCAUGAAGUAGGAAUUGCUAGUAAUCGCGAAUCAGCAUGUCGCGGUGAAUACGUUCCCGGGUCUUGUACACACCGCCCGU